AACGAACGCUGGCGGCAGGCUUAACACAUGCAAGUCGAGCGCACUCUUUUAGAGUGAGCGGCAAACGGGUGAGUAACGCGUGGGAAUCUACCCAUCUCUACGGAAUAACACAGAGAAAUUUGUGCUAAUACCGUAUACGUCCUUUUUGGAGAAAGAUUUAUCGGAGAUGGAUGAGCCCGCGUUGGAUUAGCUAGUUGGUGAGGUAAAGGCUCACCAAGGCGACGAUCCAUAGCUGGUCUGAGAGGAUGAUCAGCCACACUGGGACUGAGACACGGCCCAGACUCCUACGGGAGGCAGCAGUGGGGAAUAUUGGACAAUGGGGGCAACCCUGAUCCAGCCAUGCCGCGUGAGUGAUGAAGGCCCUAGGGUUGUAAAGCUCUUUCACCGGUGAAGAUAAUGACGGUAACCGGAGAAGAAGCCCCGGCUAACUUCGUGCCAGCAGCCGCGGUAAUACGAAGGGGGCUAGCGUUGUU
rnacentral:rRNA from 1 species